rnacentral:rRNA from 1 species
UACGUAGGGACCAAGCGUUGUUCGGAUUUACUGGGCGUAAAGGGCGCGUAGGCGGCGUGGUAAGUCACUUGUGAAAUCUCCGAGCUUAACUCGGAACUGCCAAGUGAUACUGCUGUGCUAGAGUGCAGAAGGGGCAACCGGAAUUCUUGGUGUAGCGGUGAAAUGCGUAGAUAUCAAGAGGAACACCUGAGGUGAAGACGGGUUGCUGGGCUGACACUGACGCUGAGGCGCGAAAGCUAGGGUAGCAAACGGGG